rnacentral:lncRNA from 1 species
AGAUGGUGUGCAGGGGGUGCGGCGACUGGGAGUGAUAAGGGAGGCGCCGGAGAUGUUUCCAUCUUUUUUUUUCUUUUUUUUUAAUUAGACUCAGUCAAAACGACGUCGUUUUGAGUGUAGAAUAUAACUACAAAACGACGUCGUAUCAUUUGAACGCCGGAGCAUCCACGUCGGCAAAUUCCGGGAGCCACGUCAACACCGAUUAAUGUGUUGGUCAACGCAUGUGCAAUUUACGAUAAAAUCAAAAGUUGAUGUAUUCUGAGGCCAUUUUUGAAGCUCAUGUGCAAUUUGCAAAUUUGGUGAUAG